rnacentral:rRNA from 1 species
AAUUCUAGCCUACCAAAAUUUAACUACUUAUUAACCCUUUAAAUUUAAUUAAAACAUUCAUUUAAAAUUUACCAGUAUAGGAGAUAGAAAAUUCAAAUAGCGCAAUAGAAAAAGUACCGUAAGGGAACGAUUGAAAGAAUAUUUAAAAGUAAGAAAUAGUAAAGAUUAAACCUUGUACCUUUUGCAUAAUGAUUUAGCCAGAAAAAAAUUAACAAAGAGAACUAAAGCUAAUUACCCCGAAACCAGACGAGCUAUCUAAUAACAACUUUCUGAGUUAACUCAUCUAUGUGGCAAAAUAGUGAGAAGAUUGCUAGAUAGAGGUGAAACGCCUAUCGAGCCUGGUGAUAGCUGGUUGUCCAAAUAAGAAUUUUAGUUCAACUUUAAAUUUACCUAUAUAAUAGAUAAUAAAUUGUAAAUUUAAAAGAUAAUUCUAAGGGGGACAGCUCUUAGAAUAAGGGAUACAACCCUAAUCAGAGAGUACUUAUCCAUCAAUAAACAUAGUGGGCCUAAAAGCAGCCAUCAAUUAAGAAAGCGUUAAAGCUCAAAAAAUUUUACUAACUUAAUAUCAAAAUCAAUUUACAACUCCUGAUUUACUAAUUGGACUAAUCUAUUAUUUUAAUAGAAGAAAUACUGCUAAUAUGAGUAACAAGAAAAAUUUUCUCCUAGCAUGAUUCUAUAUCAGAUCGAAUGUCUCACUGAUAGUUAACAAUCUAAUGGAUAAAGUCACUAAUUAAAUAACCAUUUUAUCAAAUUGUUAGCCCGACACAGGUAUGCAUUUAAGGAAAGAUUAAAUAGGUCAGAAGGAACUCGGCAAA